rnacentral:lncRNA from 1 species
AAGACGAGAAAGCCGCGCCCGAGAUCCGUAACGUCGGAUAGCCGCUCUGCGACCGAUGAAGAACAGCGUGCCCGUGAGGAUCGCCUUUGCGAACAGAAGCGGAAGUGGGCGCGAAAUCACCGGCAACCAA